UCAAAUGAUGAACACGUUAUUCACACUGUUUGAUCCGGUAAACCCGGAAAUGAACAUUUAAACAAAAAUUCUGAUUUAAUGAGGUGAGU
rfam:Aspergillus glaucus CBS 516.65 unplaced genomic scaffold ASPGLscaffold_12, whole genome shotgun sequence.